rnacentral:lncRNA from 1 species
CUUAACAUUGUUGCUCAUUUCUUUGCAAGUACCAGACUUGUCUUGAACUCCCAUCUCUGCCUCCUGAGUGCUGGGACUAGGGGCUACCUGUUGUGGAAUAUUAGUUAAAGGAUCAGGAACUUGUGUCUGCUCUGCUUGCUGCCGUGUCUUCAGCAUCUGAAGGAAAUUGCCAGCCAUGGUCUUGUGCAGGCAACCAGAGCUGCUGUGGGUUCCUGAGAGCAAGAGUCCUACAAUGUCCGGAAGACACUAUUUUGCAGCAAUCAUCCCCUCCUUCUUCUACGACUUCUACUGAACCUUUGAGCUGAUGAUAAAAAUUCGAGAGACUUGGAAGAACCCCUAGGCCCUCCCAGAUGGUGGAGUCAUUAAAUGGAACCCUGGGUCCUCAAGUCACUGCAGGGAAAGCUGCUAUCACACAUCCAAUGGCAUUUUUACUGCAUAACAAGAAAACAAACAAGCAGACACCCCUCUGGUGUUAAACUUCUUUGGUUAAAAUGAAAUAAAUCUUUUGAAAAAUUGCAUGUGACUGGAAAGAUGACUUGGUACUUAUGGUCUUGUAGAGGUCUUGCAUCGUGUUCCAAGAACCUAUGUUGGGCAGCUUACAAACAGCUCUGACACGCUACGAUGGCCUCCAAGGGCAGUAGAUGUGUGUGUGUAAACAUAAACAUAAAAUAAAUCUUAA